AGUCGGAUAGCUCAGUUGGUUAGAGCACUGUGCUGAUAACGCAGGGGUCGCGAGUUCGAGUCUCGCUCUGACUACAA
rnacentral:tRNA from 1 species